rnacentral:rRNA from 1 species
GAUGAACGCUGGCGGCGUGCCUAAUACAUGCAAGUCGAGCGAACAGACGAGGAGCUUGCUCCUCUGACGUUAGCGGCGGACGGGUGAGUAACACGUGGAUAACCUACCUAUAAGACUGGGAUAACUUCGGGAAACCGGAGCUAAUACCGGAUAAUAUAUUGAACCGCAUGGUUCAAUAGUGAAAGACGGUUUUGCUGUCACUUAUAGAUGGAUCCGCGCCGCAUUAGCUAGUUGGUAAGGUAACGGCUUACCAAGGCGACGAUGCGUAGCCGACCUGAGAGGGUGAUCGGCCACACGGGAACUGGGACACGGUCCAGACUCCUACGGGAGGCAGCAGUAGGGAACCUUCCGCAAUGGGCGAAAGCCUGACGGAGCAACGCCGCGUGAGUGAUGAAGGUCUUCGGAUCGUAAAACUCUGUUAUUAGGGAAGAACAAAUGUGUAAGUAACUAUGCACGUCGUGACGGUACCUAAUCAGAAAGCCACGGCUAACUACGUG